rnacentral:rRNA from 1 species
AGUCCCUACGGGAUGCAGCAGUGGGGAACAUUGCACAAUGGGGGAAACCCUGAUGCAGCGACGCCGCGUGAGUGAAGAAGUAUCUCGGUACGUAAAGCUCUAUCAGCAGGGAAGAAAAAAAGUCUUUGGCUUUGGACGGUACCUGACUAAGAAGCCCCGGCUACCUACGUGCCAGCAGCCGCGGUAAUACGUAGGGGGCAAGCGUGAUCCGGAUUUACUGGGUGUAAAGGGAGCGUAGACGGCAGCGCAAGUCUGGAGUGAAAUGCCGGGGCUCAACCCCGGAACUG